GUCUAUGACCAUAUCACCCUGAACAUGUCUGAUCUCAGAAGCUAAGUAGGGUUGAGCCUGGUUAGUACUUGGGUGGGAGAGAACUAUUUUCAAGUAAGACAAGAAUUAAUGCUC
rnacentral:rRNA from 1 species